CGGGGCCAAAGGNCGGCGCGCUCCGCUUUGGUGACUCUGGAUAACUCACUGGUCGAUCGCACGGGCUUCCACGC
rnacentral:rRNA from 1 species